CGGGACGCCGGGCGGCGACUGAGUGAACUUUCCGGAGCCGGUCCGAGUGGACACGUCCUCCCGGGACAGGUCAAUGCAGAGCCUUCAGGUCGCUGCACCGGGGUGGGGUGGGUACGGCCCACCUUGGCCCCUCCCCAGCCCGCGCCGGCAGCUGAGUGGGGGUUGGGGUUCCAAACCCGCGCCCGGCGCACCCCGGGACCGCACGUGCGCCGGGGCGGCGACCGAGACCCCGGUUUAGAAUGUAGUGUUGGAGUGAAAACCACCCAAAGGACUGACCGAGGUGAUGUCAGCUGUGAAUAGACCUCCCCAUCCCACUGAACCGAGCCCAUUGUGGUAUCUCCAAGGAGCGGUAAAGAGCGGACAAAUAGGACUCCAGGCAGCCCGAGAGGGGUUGGUCGGUGUAGAAGAAUGGCUUCUGGACUCAAGGAGGCCCCCUAGCUCUGGUCCAGCAGAACGAAGACUGAGGCUUGCUGCUUGGAGACCAACUCCAGCCUGCCCGGGUUCUGGCUAUAGCCUCAGCUAGAACAUACAGACAUGGCCUGGGGGACAUUUUAGGGAACAUGGGCCUGGGGUAAAAGGAUUUGGGGAGCCCACAGUGCCUGCCUUUAAGUUGAUCCUAGGCUCAUGAAGUGUCCUUCAGAACUAUAGGGGCUUCCGGAAGAAAUGGAGGGAAUUGGCGAGACCCCAGGAAAAGCAGUGGACUUGAGCAAGUGAUAUAGGCCACUGCUGAGUGAGGGAGGGACCGUCUUCCCAAGUCUGUGUGAGUUCUCACUGCCAGGACUCUCAUCUCUAGGGCUGGCUGUUGGGGAACAGGAAUGUCUAGAUGUGAUGCUCGUGAGGGGAGCAGGUGGAGAAAUCUAAGUCAUGGCUGCUAUCGGGACCCCUGAAGCAUCAAAGUCUAAUGAGUCUGGUGGAAGGCAGGUUACGCCUUUACUAUGGGUCUGUUAUUAAAGAAAGCUGGUUCUGAACAGAAAAAUAUUCCUUCUUGCUGCUGACAUCUGCCAAACUUCUAGAGUUGUCGUUUUCAACUCUAACACACCCAACACACAUCUACGUAUAACAAAUGUUUUGUAACAUCCCCUGUACUAGCCUGAAAAAAAAUGCAUAGGCAACAUUGCCUACUAUAUACAUAGUUUCAGAUGUCCAAACUGUUCAAAUGUCAAAAAUGUCCAAAUAAAGCCAAGCAGUGAUAAAAAGGAGAAAUAAAGGGAGCGUGAGUAUAUGCGUGUAUCAGCUUGUAGGUGCUCAGGCACGACUGCGUUAAAGUCGUAAUGAGGGUCAGAUGCUUAUGUGAAUGUGGAACCGCUGUGAACAGCACUGCUACAAAUACAGUGUUCGGCGUGAAAAUACCUCUACGGGCUUUGCGCUUAUGUGAGCAGCUAUUGGAAAAGUUCUAAGCAAAACAAAGGUCCCCCUUCCAUGGAUCGACACGACAGCUGCUGCAUUCCUGGAAGGGUUACCCAUGAGAGUAGUGAAUCACUCAGGAUUCUGGUAGCACCUGGGAUCGGGGGGAACAGUGGAGGGGAGCAGUAACCCGUGAUUCAAAGUCUCCAAAAGAUGAGGAAUAGUGUGUAGACAACCCCCCAGGAGGUGUUUAGAAAAUGUGUGGGGGCAUUCUGGUUUGUCCUAAUUGCAUGUCUCAAUUGCAAGGGGCCAGGGAUCCUCAGUGUAUGAAAGAGUCACCUGAAGCCACUGUCCUCAAAAGGUAGCUUUGUGGGGGCCGGCCCGGUGGCUCAGGCGGUUAGAGCUCCGUGCUCCUAACUCCGAAGGCUGCCGGUUUGAUUCCCA